CAGAGAAGUAGAGGAGCCAAGGGGGUGGAGCACAGGGAGGAUUUGGGUCACAAAAUACCAAGAGGGAAGGCUGAGCCCUGGGUGUCACUAUCAAAGCCUCGACUGAACUUUUCGGUGUUAGACGCAAAACCGUCACCUCGCAUGUAUCAACAUCUGGCCCUGACCCAUGUCUCAUCUAUACUAUGGGACCGUGCUGCAGGAGAUCUACAUGCCAACAAUGGAUGGAACACGCCCAAAUGUUAAUGAGCUAGGGCCCUCCAUCCUCACCUUUCUAGACUUAAUGAACGUGAGAAGAAAAAAGAGGAGAAGAAAAAAAAGGAUUGAGAGAAGGAAAGAGAGGAUGUCCUUCACCUGUGGUCGCCUGUGACUGUGGAUCCUCAAAAUGAAAGAAGAGAAAAGAAAGGAUGAGAAAAGAAAGAAAGAAAGAAGAAGAGGCGGAUGGCCAUCUCGGGUCCUGGGGGGGGGGUGCUUUGUUAGAUUCUUGAAAGGGCCUCCUUGUUUAUCUCAUUGAUAAAAAAUCGACACUAACGAUAGUGAGCGAUAUUCCACUCCAUCUGUAAUACGUGACACAAUGGCAUGUCUUCCUCUUCCUGUUAAUAAACCAGAGU